CCCCAUCGGCAGCCACUGGACACCUGCAUCAGCCCACAAAACUGGAAGCAGCACCGAGACUCCGGACAGCGCCUCUCGGGGCCCAGAAAGAGAACCGCUUCAGCACCAAGGCUGAGGACAGCUCCUAGCGGGUUUCCCCGGGCCGACUUCAUUUCAGCACGAGGACCCAGGACAGCUUCCCAGUUUCAUGGACCAACUACAGGACAAGUGCAAACUUGUGCCUGGUAAGUGAAUUGUGGCAGCAUCGAGGCUCACCCCCAGUCCUCUGAGACAUCCUAGUCCAGUAACAGACGCCACGUCGAGGUCAUUCCAGCCUCAGAGCCUCUGCAUGUGCUGUCCCCUCAGCUCGGAAUGCUCUGCUUCCCAAGGCAUCCUACAGCUCCCUCUGCUUUCUUACCCAAGCCUCAUUUCAUUAAGGGAAACUUUCCUUGUUCUCUCACCACCCCUCAUGUCAAGUUUGUAUCAUACACUCUCAUGGACCUGGGAUAUCAUCUCUCUGGUACUUAUUCCAAUUAUUGUUGUGUGAACUGUUUGCAGGAUUGUCUGCCACCUCCAAUUACACUGUGAGCUCCAUGAGGGCAGAGAUUGUAUUUUCACUGCUGUGUUCCCAGCACCCAAUCCAGGGACUGGCACACAGCAGGUGCUCGAUAAACAUUUGUUGAAUCAAUAAAGGCAUCCUAGAAUAAACCAAUACAUUAAUCAAUAAAUGAAUUGAUGGUUUCAGCAUAUACAUGACGAUCAUGCUUCUCCAAGGUCUCCCCCAGAGAUAUCAUAGGAUGAUGGUUACUGCAGGUGCUUAUUGGGUAGUAUAAUUAAAUUUGUGGACACUCAAGGGUCAGCCAGCCUACUAAUAGCCCCAGGAGAGAAUCAGGCUCUAAUUAGCAAUUAUGAGGCAUUGAUUCCUCAUUAGUUCUGGCAACCCUGUCUCCCUCCUCAGCCCCAGACUAAUGAAAUCUUUCUCCCGGGAGUACUGCCUCAGUGGGUCCAUUAACAAGCAGAGAAAAUACAAUUACAAGACACCUACAUGCCAGAGGCUCUUUGAGAAUGGGGUGGGGAGAGGGGUUCAAUGUCUGGGUUAAGGCUAAUUCGGAGAGAUUUUCCUGUAUAUUUAGAAUCAUCCUGUGGGAAUGGAAGAGCUUUCAGAUUGGGGGAGAAAAGGCUUCCAAGAUACUGCCCUUUAGGGACCCCUAUGAAAAAGGAGAUUCUGCCCUGGUAUUUCUAUGAAUGUUUCCCCCUGGGUCUCACAAUCACUCCAAAUUAAUCAUUUCAAACUGAACACCCAAUCCACCCAACUCCCAGUUCGCCCCUCCCUCCAUGUCCCCACCAAUGUGGCAGCCUCUUCACAUCCCAGACUCCCUCCCUUCCUCAUCCACCCCCGUAUUCACCAACGCAAGUCAUUCUGGGUAAAUCCAUCUUCUUCUCCAUCCCUCUGCCUCCAUCACUGCCUGGUCAUCUCACGGUCUCUUCCCUU